rnacentral:rRNA from 1 species
GACGAACGCUGGCGGCGUGCUUAACACAUGCAAGUCGAACGGAAAGGCCCCUUUGGGGGUACUCGAGUGGCGAACGGGUGAGUAACACGUGAGUAACCUGCCCUUGACUUCGGGAUAACUUCAGGAAACUGGGGCUAAUACCGGAUAGGAAUCCUUGCUGCAUGCUGGGGGUUGGAAAGCUUCGGCGGUUUUGGAUGGACUCGCGGCUUAUCAGCUUGUUGGUGGGGUAGUGGCUUACCAAGGCUUUGACGGGUAGCCGGCCUGAGAGGGCGACCGGCCACAUUGGGACUGAGAUACGGCCCAGACUCCUACGGGAGGCAGCAGUGGGGAAUAUUGCACAAUGGGCGGAAGCCUGAUGCAGCAACGCCGCGUGCGGGAUGACGGCCUUCGGGUUGUAAACCGCUUUCAGCAGGGGCGAAGCUUGUGGUGACGGUACCUGCAGAAGAAGCACCGGCUAACUACGUG